GCGGCCCGGCCUCUGUUCCGCGCGGGCGGGGCUGUGCUGCGGCCUGGCCCUGCCCUGGUCUGGGGCUGCGGCCUGGCCCUGCCCUGGUCUGGGCCUGCCGGCUUAGGGCUCCCGGUGCUGCUCCGCGGAGGGUGCGCGCGCAGGGGUGGCGCUGGGGACCCCCAGGCGGGAGCGUGCUUGUCGGGCUUUGCUGCCAUGGCUGUGCCCUGUGCCCUGGCUCUUUCUCGCUGGCGUUGAGAGGGAAGCCCGUUUGUGCGCCAAUAAUGUGUUAAAUGCCCUGAUUGAAUUCGCUGACUUGUAGGUAAAGGAGGCAAAUUUAAUGAGAUAAAAAGUGUUAGAAGCUAAUAAAUGGUUAUCAUAAGGUUGUUUUCCUCGAUUUUUUGGUUUAAGGUGUUAUGUAAUUUAAUUUGUAAUGUCAGAAUCUGACCCAGUUAUUCAGUGGGUGUAGUGUAGUUUGUAGAGAUUUAGAAGGACGGAAAACGUUUUAAGGAUUUUUUGUAUGUAUGUGUUUUAAGUCAAAGGAAAUAGCUUUAGAGAACACUAAUGGGGAAAAAUUGUAUUCUCAGUAAUACUCUUACACCUUAGAUUGCUGCUUUUGUUGAGUAAAAGAAUGUCCUUGAUAAAACUGACACUGUCUUUUAGUUACUUUAAUAUCUAGAUAAUUGAACAGUUAGUAAUCAGCAGUUUUCUUCCAUGUGAUAGGUGACCAUCAUUGGGCCCGCCACCGUGAGUGUCCCUGCUGCUGGCCUCUCCCGAGUGCCAGGCCCGAGUGGCUGCGCCCGAUUUUCCUGUGCCUCUUCUGGGGGAGAUCUGGGGCAAGCCUGUUGUCCAGCACCUUUAGGGUUUUCAGGGGCAAAGGGGAAGUGCUAGGUGGCCAAGGGGUUGCUCGUGGUUCUGGGUCAUACUGGCUGAUCUAAGAAUCUAAAGUGUGUAAUUUGAAUUAUUCUUUCUCUUUGUCUCUGUUUCUGAAUUUUUCUUUUUUCUUUUUUUUUUUUUUGCCUUGCUAUAUAGAAAUCCAUCUUUUCUACGUGCACACAAAAGAAAUAACUAAGGAAUUGCUGAAUGUGAGAUAAGUGUUUCUUAUCUUAGUCAGGAGACCGUACCUAAGGAGGUUACUGAAGACAACUCUCUAAGGAGGCGAUACCAGAAUAGAGCUUUUCAGCUGGGCGUGAUUUUACCCUUGUCUCAACCCCUGGAUGUUUAAGCAAUGUCUGCAGAGUUUUCUUUGGCAUCACUUGAGAUGUAUGGGGCCAUUGGCAUCUUAAUAGGUGGAGACCAGGGUGCCAUUAAAUAUUCUACAUUGUACAAGGCAGCCUCCAGCCAGAAAGAAUAUUCAUCUCAAAAUACCCAUAAUGCCAUGACUGAGAAAUCUUGUUCUAACUUUAAGAAAAAAAGAUGAUGUAAAACAUUGGAGGAAAUUUAAAGGGACAUUUUAGUUUUACAUUCACUGAUAGGAAAGGUGGGAACAUAUUCACCAUUCUCCUGCAUCCUAGCUCUCAUCAAUUACAUAACAAUUUAUUCAAAAUUCUACAUAAUAGAAUAAUUCUGUGUGACUUAGGAAGAACGGCACACCGCUCAUCUUUUCACUUCUUGGAGGCAGUGUUUCUUUAAAUAGGUAUCUCAGUGUUUAUAAAUAACAUGCAUAUAAUCAUUCUUGACUUGAGGGAGGCUUUUAGUUUGUUUGUUUUAGUUCUGCCUUCUGAGUAUGAGAGAGGAAGGCUUAGCAGCUGUCUUUGAUUUCAGCUGGUCCUCAUCCCAUACCACCACCAGAAUCAAACAUACACCCUCAUUAUACCCUCUUCCUUUUCCGAAGCAUUUGUAGUUUUGGUUAAACAUUGUUGUGACUAUUUAAAUGAGUUAAUAUGUCUACAACCAUCCUAUGCAUAUAAAUAGUUUUUAUUUUUUAAUAACUGGGUAAUGUGCUUUACAGUGUAGCCAUGUAAUAUGUGGUAACUUUUCCCCUCAUGCACAACUUUUGUGCACGUUGGCGUUACUGCUGCUUUAUUAUCUGUGUAUUUAGUUAAUCUAACCCAACUUCCCCAGCUCUGUAUGUCUGUCUCCCAGUAAAUUCAGAUGCCUGUGGUACCUGAUCUAGGUUGUGAUGCUGUGUCAGCACCUCACAUCCACAGGUGCUGCACCAAUUAGGAAUGAAAAUGAUUACCCUCCUUUGCAUUUGUACUGAAUAGAGACUUGUUAUUCUCCAAGCAGUUCAGUUAACAGCUAUUCGCAUAGCACUUACAUUGUAUUAAGUCGUACCACACAGUUCCUAUGCCAUUGUAUAGAAUGGAUUUUGGUAUCAGCAUGGUACCAUCUGCCCAUGGCGCUAAAGGGAGGCUGUGCUGAUAGACACUGUUUUCAUCUGGGAUUUUGCUUUCACUCAGAUGAGGGCGCGCCUUCCCUUUCCUGGGCUGAAACCAUUUUUACUGCGUUGCUUGUUCUCUUUCUGGGUUUGCAUUUAGGUUCUGGUGUAAUGGACCUUGAGAAGACAGCAUAGGAAAUAUCCUGGGUGUGGGUGUAAAAUUCUAAAUCCGAAGCCAGUUCCCUAGAGUUUGGAAGGCUUUGCUCCUUUGUAAUCUCACUUGCAGUGUUGCUGAAAUUGGUCAUUGUGAAAUCAUUUAGACAUCUUUUCUGUGUUGCCUUUUCUCCUUCUAUCCACCAGUCAGUGGAAUUUCUUCAGGUCCCCCACCACCACCACAUGCGUUUUUUUCUGUUUUCUUUCUGUUACACAGAUUAUGUGCUCCCUGAACCAGAAUUCUGGGGAUUCUCCUUUCUUGUUGUCUGUGUCAUUGAAUUUUUGGACUACUGUCUGAGAAAUGUCCCUUGCUGCAACAUUUUUAAUUACCAAAAGACCGAGAGUUAUUUUGGGUUUUUCCAGCCUCUCCAGGUACAGUGGACCCUCAAGUUAGGACCGGCCUGACAUAUGAACAACUUGGGUUAAGUUAAUGGAAGAUUCGUCUGCCUCACGUUAUCCAUAGCGUGUAUUUAGGUAAAUAUCCAGAUCUCAGCUGUAUUGACUUACAACCAACUUGAGUUACAACCAGCCCUUGGGAACCAAUCAAGUUCAUAAGUCAAGGGUCCACUGUAUUGGGGUUACAGGCAUACUAUACCACGCUCAGUUCACCCUGAGGUUUUUUUUCUGUUUCAUGCCAUCUAGUGCCUAUUUCCUGGAAUUACUACUCUUAUCUCUUAAGUAUACUUAUUGUCUUUAUGCUUUCAUUUCUUUGCAUAGUUUGUUUCUUUUAAGAUUUUUCCACCCAAUUUCUUUUCUUGGUAGAGUUUUCUGUGGAAUAUUUAGGAAUGAGACCCAGAAGCACGUGGUAGAACUUGUCAGCUGACUUCACAAUGAAGUGGACUAGUGGUGCCAUUUUGUUACAAAAGCUGAUGCAAGUAUUUAGGGCAGUUGAUGUGUCCUGAGAACUCUUCCAGUUUCCUGCCAAGAAAGCUUUCCCAUGGAACCAAGAAUG